rnacentral:rRNA from 1 species
GACGAACGCUGGCGGCGUGCUUAACACAUGCAAGUCGAACGGAAAGGCCCUGCUUUUGUGGGGUGCUCGAGUGGCGAACGGGUGAGUAACACGUGAGUAACCUGCCCUUGACUUUGGGAUAACUUCAGGAAACUGGGGCUAAUACCGGAUAGGAGCUCCUGCUGCAUGGUGGGGGUUGGAAAGUUUCGGCGGUUGGGGAUGGACUCGCGGCUUAUCAGCUUGUUGGUGGGGUAGUGGCUUACCAAGGCUUUGACGGGUAGCCGGCCUGAGGGGGUGACCGGCCACCUUGGGACUGAGAUACCGCCCAGACUCCUACGGGAGGCAGCAGUGGGGAAUAUUGCACAAUGGGCGGAAGCCUGAUGCAGCAACGCCGCGUGCGGGAUGACGGCCUUCGGGUUGUAAACCGCUUUCGCCUGUGACGAAGCGUGAGUGACGGUAAUGGGUAAAGAAGCACCGGCUAACUACGUG